UACCAGACUCCUACGGGAGGCAGCAGUGGGGGAUAUUGCACAAUGGGGGCAACCCUGAUGCAGCGACGCCGCGUGAGCGAUGGAGUACUUCGGUAUGUAAAGCUCUAUCAGCAGGGAAGAAAAAAGACGGUACCUGACUAAGAAGCCCCGGCUAACUACGUGCCAGCAGCCGCGGUAAUACGUAGGGGGCAAGCGUUAUCCGGAUUUACUGGGUGUAAAGGGAGCGUAGACGGCAAUACAAGUCGGAAGUGAAAUACCCGGGCUCAACCUGGGAACUGCUUUGGAAACUGUAUGGCUGGAGUGCUGGAGAGGUAAGCGGAAUUCCUAGUGUAGCGGUGAAAUGCGUAGAUAUUAGGAGGAACACCGGUGGCGAAGGCGGCUUACUGGACUGUAACUGACGUUGAGGCUCGAAAGCGUGGGGAGCAAACAGGAUUAGAUACCCCCGUA
rnacentral:rRNA from 1 species